GACGAACGCUGGCGGCGUGCUUAACACAUGCAAGUCGAACGGGCCCGCCCCUGUUUUUGGGGGUGGGUUGAGUGGCGAACGGGUGAGUAUCACGUGAGUAACCUGCCCCCCGCUCCUGGAUAACUGCUUGAAAGGGCGGCUAAUACGGGGUGUGCCGGCUGGUCCGCAUGGGCCUGGUCGGGAUAGUUUCAUCUUCGGGUGUUUCGGUGGGGGAUGGGCUCGCGGCCUAUCAGCUUGUUGGUGGGGUGAUGGCCCACCAAGGCGGUGACGGGUAGCCGGCCUGGGAGGGUGGGCGGCCACACUGGGACUGAGACACGGCCCAGACUCCUGCGGGAGGCAGCAGUGGGGGGUAUUGCACAAUGGGCGGAAGCCUGAUGCAGCGACGUCGCGUGAGGGAUGGAGGCCUUCGGGUUGUGAACCUCUUUCUCCGGUGGUGAAGGCCCUGUCCGUUGCGGCGGGGUUGACGGUAGCCGGGUAUGAAGCGCCGGCUAACUACGUG
rnacentral:rRNA from 1 species